rnacentral:rRNA from 1 species
GACGAACGCUGGCGGCGUGGAUUAGGCAUGCAAGUCGAACGGUAGGAUACCUUCGGGUAUCUGAGAGUGGCGAACGGGUGAGUAACACGUAGGUGAUCUACCCUCAAGAUUGGGACAACCCAGGGAAACUUGGGCUAAUACCGGAUGAAAGCAGCAGUGAUGUUGUUUGAAAGGUGGCGUAAGCUGCCGUUUGGGGAUGAGCCUGCGCUCUAUUAGUUAGUUGGCGGGGUAAAGGCCCACCAAGGCGAUGAUAGAUAGGCGGCCUUAACGGGUGGUCGCCCACACUGGGGAUUGAGAUACGGCCCAGACUCCUACGGGAGGCAGCAGUCGAGAAUAGUCUACAAUGGCCGAAAGGCUGAUAGUGCGACGCCGCGUGAACGAGAAGCCCUUCGGGUGUAAAGUUCUUUUAUAUGUGAGCAGUGCUUUCUAUGUGAACAGCAUGGGGAGAGAGAUAUUAGCAUAUGAAUAAGCAACGGCUAACUCCGUGCCAGC